UACGUAGGGGGCGAGCGUUGUCCGGAUUUAUUGGGCGUAAAGAGCGUGUAGGCGCCAGGUAGGUCUGCUGUGAAAACUCGAGGCUCAACCUCGAGACGUCGGCGGAAACCAUCUGGCUAGAGUCCGGAAGAGGAGAGUGGAAUUCCUGGUGUAGCGGUGAAAUGCGCAGAUAUCAGGAAGAACACCCGUGGCGAAAGCGGCUCUCUGGAACGGUACUGACGCUGAGACGCGAAAAGCGUGGGGAGCGAACAGG
rnacentral:rRNA from 1 species